AAACAACAUAUAUCCUGGUAUGACCUGAAUCAUCAUUCAUCACACAUGAGAUGUAUAAACAACAUAUGUCCUGGUAUGACCUGAAUCAUCAUUCAUCACACAUGAGAUGUAUAAACAACAUAUAUCCUGGUAUGACCUGAAUCAUCAUUCAGCACACAUGAGGUGUAUAAACAACAUAUGUCC